rnacentral:rRNA from 1 species
AUUAAACGCUGGCGGCAUGCCUUACACAUGCAAGUCGAACGGCAGCACGGGGGCAACCCUGGUGGCGAGUGGCGGACGGGUGAGUAAAGCAUCGGAACGUAUCCUGGAGUGGGGGAUAACGUAGCGAAAGUUACGCUAAUACCGCAUAUUCUGUGAGCAGGAAAGCAGGGGAUCGCAAGACCUUGCGCUCUGGGAGCGGCCGAUGUCGGAUUAGCUAGUUGGUGGGGUAAAGGCCUACCAAGGCGACGAUCCGUAGCGGGUCUGAGAGGAUGAUCCGCCACACUGGGACUGAGACACGGCCCAGACUCCUACGGGAGGCAGCAGUGGGGAAUUUUGGACAAUGGGCGCAAGCCUGAUCCAGCCAUGCCGUGUGAGUGAAGAAGGCC